rnacentral:lncRNA from 1 species
GCUCACCUGACAGGCUGAAAGAGGAGGGAGGCUCCUGUUCCAUCAGGCAGAUAAGCCCACUAUACCCCUGCCCCCAACUGGUAAUUACAACUAAGGCUCCUGGGCAAAAUACAAAACAGUGAUUUGAGGAUUUUGAGAAGUAAACAAGAACAGGCAGAUUGCAGAGUGGAGUUAAAACUUGGAGAAAUGACCUUACACAGCAGUGGGUCCCAGUCAUGGAGUCCCUAAAACUUUAAUGGAAACUCCAUCCUUCUUGCUAGAGGAACUAGAAAAGGGAUCCCCCAAAGAUUAAAAAGGGAGCAGAUAAUUGCGGAGGAAAAAACCAAGAGGACCCCUUCUAAUUCUGUGUAUGAAUCCACACAGCCUCACCCCUGAACUACCCAUGCAAAGGACAGACACAAACCGGUUAAUCCAGGGUUACCCUGGACACCAUGCUCAGCAUAGAGGUUGGACUUUUGGGUGGAUCCAAGAAGAAAUGGUGGAGAAACUGUCACCACACUUUGAGAAGUUUGAAAUUUCCCUUAGACUUUCCUAAAAAGUGAUUUUGAAGAGGCAAGGGGUGGGGCCAGAAAGCAGGGCCCCCCCCAAUUCUGGGAGCGAGGCACGGAAGGAUGGCACAUACACCCACCUGCUAGAGGAAGCCUCCAGCCCAAUGCUACGUCGUCCGUCUGUCUGUAGAUGGGAAAUAACCACUGCAGUUUCCCUGGGUGGCCCUAAGGGUUAAAUGAGAGAGCGCCUGCCUAUCACAGUGCUUACUUGUGGCCACUUGUUCUGUAUUAGGUAAAUCUGGACCUGUAAACAGGUGAAAUUUGACAAAGGACAUGUGCUUAUCAUCAUGGAGUGGCCAUUGUGGCUUUUCAAUAUGGCAGUAUUGACUGAGGCUGGUCUGUGGACUGGCUUCCGGACGCGAUCCUUUUCCUUUCUUCCUGUGCUUGAUUGACCUCCAUAGUAGAAUUAUACUGAAUUCAAACACAUCCCACUGCUUACAGUCUGAAACUACCCUGCAAAAUCAAGCUGAGUCCAUCUUGGGGCUGGUCCUCAGCCUUCAUGCUGGUGGCCGGUCUGGAAGCCCUGGAAGGAAGCCUCUCCCUCCGGCUUCUAGGCCUGUUCCAGAAAUAGAUGCUCACGUACACAUGCUCCAGAAACGCAGACCCGAAGACAAUUUUUUCUGAAGACUCUUCAGCUUCCUAAAAUGUGCCUGGGUUUUGAAAGAAGGUAAAGAGAUGGUUUUAAUCUUGGCCAAACUGAGGGAAAUCGUCACAAUGAGACCAUGACUUAUCAGUGCAAUUGUUUAUCAAUAGUAAAAUAACUCAAAGAAAAGUUCAUGGCCAGUGUUAGGUGUGGGGUGCAUACUUGGUAAGUGCUGACUGUGUGUUCACGCUUUGAAGAGGCCAGAGGCCUCCAGGUUUGCCCAUCUGGGAUUAGCAUGAGCUGGCUUCCCUCGCUUGGGGGGAGCACUUCGGAGGCUGCCAAAGUGUGCUCUCUUCCAGGCCUCAUUACAGACUCACGAGGACUGGGUGAGGCCAUAUUAUUAUUCUUCUCUUCUAGAGGAGAAGGAAGAGGCUUGAAGGAGAUUGUGAGUUGCCCAAACCAGUAACAGCAGUGGCAGAGCCAUGGUGAGACAGCCACGAUGGUCAUUACCAGCAGCCACAAGAAGGGCAAUAUUUAUCAAGCUGUUUCGUCUAGCCAGCACCAUGGUGGGUCAGCCCUGUGAGGAAGAGCAGCAUUCCCUGCAGACCAGGAGGCGGAGUGCAGGGUGGUGGGAAUCUGCUCAGUGAGAGGCGGAGGUGGGGCUGGGAGCUGGGCUCCUUGCUCUCCACACCCCCACUCUGGACACCUGCCCCCAGUGUCUUAGCUUUCUCCCCAUGGCCCUGUGAGUCUCUCUUCCUGCUGAGCCAAGGGCCCUGCAGAGGCUCUUUCCCAUGUAUUGGUGGCACAUUCUGAUGGCUACUUCCAGCUGGAGGACACCUACGAGGACGGAAAGUUGAAGCAACAAAAGGAUUUUGACAUUUCAUUCUAACUGGGAGAGGCUGAACCAACAGAUAGGGGUGUGUGUGUGUGUGUGUGUGUGUGUGUGUGUGUGUGAAAGAGAGAGAGUGGGAAAGAGACAGAGACUGAGUCUGCCAUCCCCUAAGAUCUCUGAACGUGUGUACUCUAGCAAGUGUGACUGUCUCAAAGCCUAGUUGUAGCUUCCAUUGCCCAGCAGCCUUACAGAUGACAAGAGCAGGCAUGGUUUGAAGACAUGAAAAGUAGCCACGCACAGUGGCUCAUGCCUGUAAUCCCAGCACUUUGG